GAGUGGGUUGGUCCCCUUCCUGAUGUAUAAAAACAGAACUCCUAGGUUUGGGGUUCAUGUUACAAUUGGACUCCAGGAAAACAGACUAUACAUUCAAAAUCUAAACCAGUUUUAAAGUAUAAAUUAAAAAGUAUUUUCCCUCUAGCACAUUUAGAUAUUAUUGUUUACUAAGAGAAAGAAGAACAGGCUACAUGCCGUCUUCGAUAGCUCCCUCAUGCUCCUAGAUCCACAAAUGAUACCAGGGAAGCCACUGCUUGCCUCUGUGCCUUUGGGGAGGCGGAGGUUGUAGGGGGAAGUCUGAAAGCUCACCAUCACGGAGCUCCAACUCCUUCUUCCUGGGAUGCGGCACUUGCCUGUGAAGCCACGAUGCCCGGGAGGGCUCUGGGAGAGUAACCAAUUCCUUCACUGGGGGCAGGCGGGAGUCUCCAGGGUCACUAUGGGGCAACCUGUGAAGGGAAGGGAGGAAAGGGAUUUCCGGAAGUCUCCCGCUCUCCCUCCUGCCUGCUUCCCUCCUUCCCCUAGCGGUUGAUUGCGAGGAGCAGCGGAAGGAAGGAUGUAUCAAACCGAAAGAAGAAAGAACCCCUGCCAGUCGCCCCCAUGACAUCCGACUCUGAACGGCAGCGAUCUAGAGGCUGUGGCGUGUUGCAGAUUAACAGCAGCGAGGGCAGGAGGCAAAUCAGAUGCCGCAGGAGCUGACUGUUUUCUUUAGCCCUGAGAGCUGACUGUAGGCACAGGUUGCAUAUCAAAGGCAACGGGAAUCAGUCUGUGGCAAUAUUACAUCAGGUCCUGGCUCUACCUCCUGCAAUUAGCACAGGGGAGGGCUGAGUAACUGGGAGGACUUAGCCUUCUCCCUGUGGUUAUCUUGUAAGGCUUUGAAGUGUAACUUUUGUUUUGUUUUGCUUGCUUUCCCCCUGCAUAGAAAUUUCCCUUAAGGGAAGGGUGGGUCUAAACUACCUUUAAAAUGAGUUUCCACUCCCUGAACAAGGCUUGUAAAAGCUUGAGAGAAAAUGCCAGGGGAAAGCAUGGAAACUUUCUGGGGAUAAACUAUGGGUCUCCACCUUUGCACUUAAUCAGGGGACAGCCACUAACCCCAGUAGCUGCAUGCUUUCUGCCACCUUCAUCUACCUGAGCAAAACUUCAAGGACAUGUUUAUGCUGAAUCUCCAGAGAGAGCAAUAGAAGCCCAGCUUGAGGGAAAUGACUGGACCUUGAUUACUUAGGAUAAAAAGAGAUCAAUUUAUUUUUUCAUUCUUUCACUCAUUGACUUAGCCAUUCAACAAACAUAUAUCCAGCAUGUGCCUUGAGUAGGACAAGGCUGAACACUGUUUUUAAAAGGUAUGUUUCUGUAAAGAUGCACUCUUCCCUGACCACCAGACCCUGCCAAACCUUUGAGAGAGUGUCUCUGAGAAGGAAUGAGCAAGGGAAAAUAUCCCAUUAGAAGGGAACUCUUGGGUCCUCACCCCUCCUGAGAUAGAGAUGAAUAAGGGCAUCUUCUAAAGCACUGAGAACUGUUAAGCUGUCCUUAAGCGGGUGAGGGAUAUGACUUUUGAAAAUAAUAGUAAAAACAGUUUAUGUGGGGAUAGUUUAUGAGAGUUCACAGAACCCUUUCAUGUGUGUUACUAGAAUGAGUGUUGGGUUGAAGAUUAGGCAGACAUGCUCCCAAUAAUACUUUUGAAGCGCUGGACACAUGCUGUGUUUCACCAAGAAGUUAGCAAUUGUUCAUAGUUGUAGUAUCUGUGACACAGGUCCCAAAUGUUCAGAUUAGCUAACGUGACCAAAGAGGAGAGGCUUGACAUCUCUUUCGCUUGGUUCCAUCUCCUUAUUUUGUCACUCAACCUAGUGUGUGUGGUCAUC
rnacentral:lncRNA from 10 species